GCAACCGGUUGACGGUCGCUAUGGUUUACCAUAGAGGAAAGUCCAGACACCGUAGAGUAGGAUGUCCUUUCGUAAAGUAGGAUACUGUGUCCCAUAAAGUCACAGGAAGGAAAGUGCCACAGAAAUUAAACCGCCUUGCUUGCAAGGUAAGGGUGAAAUGGUGAAGUAAGAGCUCACCGUGCUUUUAGCGAAAGCGGAGCAGCAUGGCAAACCCCGUCCGGUGCAAGAUCAAAUAGGGAACAAAGAUGCUACUCGUAUCGUUUUUCUUUGGAAAUAUAGUUCCGGGUUCUGAUCGCAUAGUCAAAUGACCGUCCAUUUGCGUUUUUCGCAAAAGACAGGAUCUGGCUUACAGCCGGUUGCAAUU
rnacentral:RNase_P_RNA from 1 species